GUCACGGCUCAGGUCAACAGCUGCCUGCGCUCCGCUGUGAGGUCAUGUGCGGUGGAAGACUAAUGAUGACGUCAGAGCUGAGUGGGGAGAUGUAAACACAUGGCAUCUACUCUACUGUUAACUUAUUAUUUAUAUAUAGCCUACUCAGAGAAAUUAAAGUGAAUACAAGAUGACAACAUAACCACGAGGCCCUCAAAGAUAAGUACUGGAUUGGAUUCAGACGUUGGAAUCAAUGCAGGAUUCUUGGCCCAUCUCAUCUCCUGUGAAGUGAACUCCAGCGGUGACACACCUCCACCCCCAAAAUGAGUGUGGAACAUUUGGCCCAAUGGAAACUGUCCAGAAUUUAGCCUAAACAUCGGUGGUGGGAGAAAGAGUGGGUGAGGUGAAACCGCUGAUGGACAGAGUGGAAUUUGAACCAUGUCAGCUGUGCAGCAGUGUGCGUAUUGCAGGGGAUCCCCUCAGAGAUUGGGUUGUACAUCACCUCAGUGGCAGUGAGUCAGCAGCCGCACUGAUAGGAAACUAGUAAACCACAGAGGGGCUUUCCUCCCUGCGUGUGCGGGAGUGCAUCAUACUUUCAUCCAAGCUGAACAAUGAAGAGA